rnacentral:rRNA from 1 species
ACGGAAGGCAGCAGUGGGGAAUAUUGGACAAUGGGGGAAACCCUGAUCCAGCGACGCCGCGUGAGUGAAGAAGUAUUUCGGUAUGUAAAGCUCUAUCAGCAGGGAAGAUAAUGACGGUACCUGACUAAGAAGCCCCGGCUAACUACGUGCCAGCAGCCGCGGUAAUACGUAGGGGGCAAGCGUUAUCCGGAUUUACUGGGUGUAAAGGGAGCGUAGACGGCAAAGCAAGUCUGAAGUGAAAUGCCGGGGCUUAACCCCGGAACUGCUUUGGAAACUGUUUAGCUAGAGUGCAGGAGAGGUAAGCGGAAUUCCUAGUGUAGCGGUGAAAUGCGUAGAUAUUAGGAGGAACACCAGUGGCGAAGGCGGCUUACUGGACUGUAACUGACGUUGAGGCUCGAAAGCGUGGGGAGCAAACAGGAUUAGAUACCCUGGUA